UGUUAGGAUUCUGAUGGGGGCCUGGGUAACUCAGCUGCUUAAGCAUCCAGCACUUGAUUUCAGCUCAGGUCAUUAUCUCAGGGUUUGUGACUUG